CUAGGUUGGGGAAUGACUUUGCCUCCUGGGGUCUGGGUUUUACAUUGCAGCUUGGGACUGAAACUGCAGGUGGACUGUUUUAAUGAGCACCUGGAGUGGUUAGUGGUAACCACAUCUCUCCCACUGGGUAUUACUCUUCCUUUUCCUGCCCUCUGGCUUCCUCAGGCCUCCUACACAACCCAGUCUAAUUUACUGCAACAGGCAGAACUCUGGGCCAGCCAUAAAACCGCUGCCAUAAAGGGAGUGGCUUUGAAAGGUUGUUCAAAUGAGACUGGAGUGCUAAAUAAAGAUACACAGCUAUAUGCUCAGAACACAUCUACCCACUGGUUUCUAUUCUAAAUUAAAACACUCUAUUAAGGCAAUAGGAAAUGGCUUUGGCUUUUGGACCCAGCUGGAUCCUCAGAUCAUCUGACAGUGAUACACCCAUGUCAGACUAGCUGGUUUCUUAUGAACACCUACUUAUCCCAUUGUGACACACCAGUAAGAGAACCUGGGCUGUGCAGGCAGCUAUUGUAUUCCUGGGAUGGUUACAGUUAUUGAGCUACCAGCAACACCUGCUAUAUGCAACUGUUGCUUGGCAAUAUAGGCUUAGUGCCAGAUCCUUCAGUCCUCCCCCCUGUGAAGAACUACACUGACUUCUGUAGGGCGAGUCAGGGGAGUAAGAGAUACAAAAUCAGGCUGUCUUUGCUGCUGGAAAGUUAAGCAUCUUUGAAAUGGUUCAAGUUCUUGGAGUAACCCACAGCCUGACUCUGUGUACCAAAGUGCCUGUCCCUACCCAAGUGAUAGGAGCUCAUCAGAACGCUGAACUUGAGCACAGCACCGGGAUCAAUGUGAGACAAAGUCCGCCAUAAAUUCCAACAGCAAAGGCUGCCCAGCAGUGGCACAUCUGAGUGUGUGAUGAUUGUAAUGCAUCAGGACUGGAUUCUGAUCUUGCCUACAGGGGUAUAAACCCAGCAUGACUCCAUUCACUGCAGUGGAGUUGCCUGGGAUUUACACCAGUGUAAGAAAGAACUAAAUCUGAGCCCCAGUAUCUCACAAUUAGAAGCACAAGUCUUAGAGUAUGGAGACAGUCUGUGGUUCUCUGUCUGCUGGGUAAAUAACAGGGCCCAAUGCAGCAUGUACAAAAAAAAAGGAGAGAGAAAAGACACUGCUGUUUGCUAGCUAAAGAGUCCCUCAGCUGGCACCAUGUAUUCCUGUGGAGGCAGAAAUGGCACAGGCAGAGCUUUCAUAGUCAUAGGACAACUCAAAGCAAAGGGAUUUGCUGCAGAACAGAG